AUGGAGAAGGCAGGAUCCAUGGAUCAUCACAGCUCCUCAUGGAUCAUCAUGGAUGGACAUGAGGGGAUCCAUGGAUGCUCAUGGUUCCUCAUGGAUCUUCGUGGAUGGAGAGGGAAAGAUCCAUGGAUCCAUGUGGGAAUUUUGGAGAGGGCAGGAUCCAUGGAUCCUCAUGGAUCCUCAUGGAUGGAGAGGGCAGGAUCCAUGGAUCCUGGUGGGAAUGAUGGAGAGGGCAGGAUCCAUGGAUCUUCAUGGAUGGAGAGAGUAGAAUUCAUGGAUCCUCACAGAUCCUCAUGGAUCUUCAGAUCCUCAUGGAUCCUUCAUGGAUCUUCAUGGAUGGAGAGGGGAGGAUCCAUGGAUCCAUGUGGGAAUUUUGGAGAGGCUAGGACCCAUGGAUCUUCACAGCUCCUCAUGGAUGGAGAGAGCAGAAUCCAUGGAUCCUCAUGGAUCUUCAUGAAUGGAGUGGGCAGGAUCCAUGGAUCCUCACAGAUCCUCAUGGAUCCUCAUGGAUGGAGAAGGCAGGAUCCAUGGAUCAUCACAGGUCCUCAUGGAUCAUCAUGGAUGGACAUGAGGGGAUCCAUGGAUGCUCAUGGUUCCUCAUGGAUCUUCAUGGAUGGAGAUGGGAGGAUCCAUGGAUCCAUGUGGGAAUUUUGGAGAGGGCAGGAUCCAUGGAUCUUCACGGAUCCUCAUGGAUGGAGAGAGCAGAAUCCAUGGAUCCUCAUGGAUCUUCAUGGAUGGAGUGGGCAGGAUCCAUGGAUCCAUGUGGGAAUGAUGGAGAUGGGAGGAUCCAUGGAUCCUUGGGAUGAUGGGGAGGACAGGAUCCAUGGAUCCUCAUGGAUCCUCAUGGAUUUUUAUGGGAGGAUCCAUGGGUCCUCACAGAUCCGUGUGGAUCAUCAUGGAUCCUCAGGGAUCCUCAUGGAUCUUCAUGGAUGGAGAGGAGAGGAUCCAUGGAUCCAUGUGGGAAUGAUGGAGAAGGCAGGAUCCAUGGAUCUUCAUGGAUCCUCAUGGAUGGAGAGAGCAGAAUCCAUGGAUCCUCAUGGAUCUUCAUGGAUGGAGAAGGCAGGAUCCAUGGAUCUUCACAGCUCCUCAUGGAUCAUCAUGGAUGGAGAGGAGAGGAUCCAUGGAUCCUUGUGGGAAUGA
rnacentral:lncRNA from 1 species